rnacentral:rRNA from 1 species
UGAGGGAUAUUGGUCAAUGGACGCAAGUCUGAACCAGCCAAGUAGCGUGCAGGAUGACGGCCCUAUGGGUUGUAAACUGCUUUUAUAUGGGGAUAAAGUGGGGAACGUGUUCCCUUUUGCAGGUACCAUAUGAAUAAGGACCGGCUAAUUCCGUGCCAGCAGCCGCGGUAAUACGGAAGGUCCGGGCGUUAUCCGGAUUUAUUGGGUUUAAAGGGAGCGUAGGCUGUCUAUUAAGCGUGUUGUGAAAUAUACCGGCUCAACCGGUGGCUUGCAGCGCGAACUGGUCGACUUGAGUAUGCAGGAAGUAGGCGGAAUUCAUGGUGUAGCGGUGAAAUGCUUAGAUAUCAUGACGAACUCCGAUUGCGCAGGCAGCUUACUGUAGCAUAACUGACGCUGAUGCUCGAAAGUGCGGGUAUCAAACAGG